rnacentral:lncRNA from 1 species
UUGAGCAAGUGCGGCAGACACUUAACUCUAGUGAUGUGCGGAGACACAUUGAAGGAGAUAGAGAUAACCAGGCAAGUGACCUCUUUGUAAGAGGCCGGACUAGCCAACAGGGAAAGACCAAAUCAAAGCACAGAUCAAAGUCUCGUGUGAACAAGAAGAAUACAGAGUGUUGGGGUUGUGGCAAGAAGGGGCACUUUGAACGAGAUUGCCCAAUGUCAAAGUCCAAGGAAAAGGCGAGUGCAUCUACAGUUGAACAGGUACAUAAUUUUGAUAAUGAUUAUGUACUAACAACAUUGUGUAAUAAUAAUAGUAGUUAUGAAAACAAAUGGGUGUUAGACUCUGCUUGUACUCUGCAUAUUACGUUCCGAAAAGACUGGUUUAGCAGCUACGAGAAAAGUGGAGGAACCGUAGUAAUGGGCAAUAAUGCAACUUGUGCAAUAGUUGGCAUUGGCUCAGUUCGGGUUCGCUGCCAUGAUGGAAUCGUGAG